UACGGAGGGUGCGAGCGUUGUCCGGAAUUAUUGGGCGUAAAGAGCUCGUAGGCGGUCAGUCGCGUCUGCUGUGAAAACUCGGGGCUUAACUCCGGGCCUGCAGUGGGUACGGGCUGACUAGAGUGCGGUAGGGGAGACUGGAAUUCCUGGUGUAGCGGUGAAAUGCGCAGAUAUCAGGAGGAACACCAGUGGCGAAGGCGGGUCUCUGGGCAGUAACUGACGCUGAGGAGCGAAAGCGUGGGGAGCGAACAGG
rnacentral:rRNA from 1 species